rnacentral:hammerhead_ribozyme from 1 species
AUCCAGCUCACUAGUCCCAAAUAGGACGAAGCGCGCGUCCUGGAU